GUUGAGCAGGAAGACUCGUCACCCACCUCUGAAACACACAUUGCAAGAGCAGGAUGAAGCGGCCCUUCAUGAGGAGGAACCUCAGGUCGAAGAAGAUUGGUCCUCCCAUGGAAGAUCAUUCUUGCAAUUCCUGGAGGAUGAUGUGGACCUUACUUUUGUAAUGUAGGAUUGGAUCAGCCCCCCAUCCCCCAACCAAUAGAAAAUGUGUCCCUUACUAAGAGAUGACUACACCCUGCUCAGCCUGGGAGAAGAAACAGCACGGGCCCUUUCCUCUCAGCCCUUGGACCUCUCCCAACCCGGAUGGCAUCCCCAACAUUUUAUGCCACCUCCACCACCAUCCCCUUCACCUGCACCUUCACUACAGGCUGCAACAUCACCACAGGAUGCACCACAAGGGGAAGGAGCAGAAAGGGAACAAAUAAGGACCGUAAUGUUCUCUUUUAACACAUACACCCACAGAAGUCUCCAAGUGCAGAGGCAGAUGGUCAGAGUACUGUAGGCAAAUAUUACUGGAACAAGCAGACAAACCAGCCUGUUGGAGAGAAUGAUGGUGUGCAUUGAACAGAAGAGGGGCUCCAGCACCACAGAGCACACUGGUGGUGCCUCCCCUGAUUCAGUACCUUCCUAAGACUGUUGCUUCGAGCUUCUUGCCCUCCAACAACUGCUGUCUCUUCUGCCUCUAGAGCCAUGCUCCGUUCUAGGAGUCAGUGUCCUUCACAUCCCUCCUUCUACUCCUAAAUUCUGAGGGUUUUUGUUCAUCACUCAUGCGCAAAUUGUAUAUCUGGAUUCAUUACAUAAAUUUAUACUAAAAUGUUUGAGAUUCAUAACUAAUAUGGAGAGCAAACAUGAAUUUUAAUAAGGUAUUGGUUGGUAUUGUAUUUUAUGUAUGCAUGUGAGGGAAACUAUAUCUAAAACCCUUAAGCCAGGCUCACCACCUGCCUCUGUACUUGGAGACUUCUGUGGGUGAUUUAGUUUAAUGCAGACAUUAUGGACCUCACUAGUUCUCUGUUUGUUCUUUCCCCUUCUGGUGUAAAUAUGUAAUUUUUACACAUUUAUGAAAUUCUUAGAUAUAGCAUAAAUAUUUCAUCAUGCCAGUUAUUUUCUAGAACAUAUUUUUUAAGAGGUUUGAUUGUUAAUGGCUGAAAUAAUUGUAGUAUUGUUGUACUGUCAAAUAGUUUUUCUUGUUGUGGAACACUAUUAACAGCCUAUGGACUUUGAUAUGGCAUACUUGUGCUUCAACUUGCCAAACAAUUGUCAUCAUGGACUGUGUCUCUUGUUGCUCAACUACUAACUCUAACUCUUUGUAUGGUUUAUGGUCUGUGUUAUUCCAUACCAUACUUGCUGACAAAUAUUGUUUUUGUUUAAACUCAGGCUAUGGGGGACUGAUGUCUGAUCCUGUAAAUUAAAUUGAUAUAUGUUAUGUCAA